ensembl:lncRNA
CUAAUGUAAAGGACUUUUAUUUCCGGGUUGGAGCUGCCUCCGGACCCGCAGGGGAAGGAGUCUGGUGCAGUACGUCGCCCUCUGAGGUAUAGCAUCUGAGCAGCGGGGAGGAAGGAUCUGUAACCUGUGGCGGCGACCCGGAGCUCUGGCUGUCAGAACGGGUUGACAGGCCCGAGGACGGGGAAUUAAAGAGGCUCUUGUCCUCCUCCAAGGCUGAUUGACACAGUCAGAGCGACAGAAAGGCUGCUGGAAGUGCAGCUAUUCCCUCGGCUGUCUCUACCUUUUGCACUGGACAAAGAGCAGCGUCUCACUUUCUUUAGAUGUGUCUUUCACCGUCCUCCUGCUCUUCUCCCCCCCCCACACACACACACACUCGGGCUCAUUAUAGGAAUGAUCCUCAGGGACUUCACUUACUUCUCUGACUCUCCUCCCAGUCCACAAACCUCGCCGACGGACAAAAGGCGGCUGAGAGGAAAUUUGAAUUUGAAACAGGAGGCCGCAACAAAAACACGCAGCUCCUGAAAUGGAGAAACUUUAGAAGACUUGUAGGCAGCUGAGGUUUACCGGUCCAUGCACCAAAAAGCAGAAACAUGAUUCUGACAUUAUCCAGCCAGCCAAUGAACUGUAAAGGUAGCAGCUACUGAACAAGGAGAGGGAUGGCAGCGCCUGAAGGAAGUAGCAUUGGACACCAGGGGCCCAGCGGGUAGGACUGUAGAACGCAGCCCACCGCAGCUAACAUGCAAUCACACAAAACAGUGAGAAAAACACAAAGAGAGGGGCACGUUUUCCACAAGGCCACAGUGACCGUGCGAUGCAGUCUCUGCAUGUGCAGUUCUGAAACUCACCGGAUUAGAAAAGUCUCUUCCAUUGACCAUUGAAAACAAUUGCAACGUGAAAAGGGCUAAAUUCCUCCUCCCAAACGUCUCAAAUUAAACAGCUCCUCGCUCAAACCCGGUUUGAUUAAAGUAGCUGAGUGAGACACUGAUGCCAGUGUUUUAAUGUACAGCAGCAAAGGAGCCAACACACUUAGAACUGUCAGCCAUUUUCAAUCACGCGAUCUGAGCCCUGUCAAUAACCACUCAAUGGAUGGACGGACAGCUGAGUGCUGCUUGUUUGUGCGUGGCUGCGAGCUACGCAGCAUGAAAUACAGAAC